rnacentral:rRNA from 1 species
AACGAACGUUGGCGGCGUGGAUUAGGCAUGCAAGUCGAACGAAUCCCCUUUGGGUAACUGAGGGGGGGAAGUGGCGAAAGGGGCAGUAAGGCGUGGGUAACCUACCCCGGGGAUCGGGAUAGCCUUCCUAACGGAUGGGUAAUACCGGGCGAUCUGACGAGGGGACAUCCCCUUGUCAGGAAAUGAAUUUCGCCUCGGGAGGGGCUCACGUGAUAUUAGCUUGUUGGCGGGGUAACGGCCCACCAAGGCCAAGAUGUCUAGCGGGUGUGAGAGCACGACCCGCGCCACUGGCACUGAGACACUGGCCAGACACCUACGGGUGGCUGCAGUCGAGGAUCUUCGGCAAUGGGCGCAAGCCUGACCGAGCGACGCCGCGUGCGCGAUGAAGGCCUUCGGGUUGUAAAGCGCUGUCGAGGGGGAGGAAAGCCGCAAGGUUUGACCUAUCCCUGGAGGAAGGACGGGCUAAGUUCGUGCCAGCAGCCGCCGUAAAAC